rnacentral:ncRNA from 2 species
AUCUUAUCAAGAAAGGCAGAGGGAUUGGGCCCUAUGAAGUCUUGGCAACCUGCGCUCCUCAAAGCAAGGUGCCAACUCCCACCACGAAGGUGUUCGUGAAAAGAUGAGUU